GUGUAUGCUUGUGUGUGUGUGUGUGUGUGUGUAUGUGUAUGCUUGUGCAUGUGUGUGUAUUGAUAAAUGUGGUAUACUAUUCGAAAUACAACUCUGAAAGGAAAAAAAAAAAUUUUCUCCAUCGAUUUGAUUCUGCUGAGUAUUGGAUAUUUGAUGUUAGAUGCUGUUGCAACGCUAAACUUUUCAACUAUUAGUUUUUCAGGAUGUUUAAAACAUUUCAAUAUAUGCAAGUUGAGAGUUUCAAAAAAAAGUUAUAUUCCAAUUUGCUGAAAUUAACAACAUUUUAGUAGAUAUAACUGCACAGUUCUCUAAUGAUCCAGAAGAAGGUUUUACACAACGUAAAAUUUCAGAUGAACUUAAUGUUUUGAAAAGAAAAAUUGCAAAUAUAGAUAUCCAAUACAUCGCUUUUGUAUUAGUAAAACAGUUAUCAUUAAUUAGCGGUAAAAAAUGGAGUAGAUACAAUUAAAAAUAUUUUGCUUUUACUACCAACAGACACUAUUUUGUCCGAAUACAGCAUUAAUGGUCUAAAGAAGAAAAAAAAGUUUAAAGAAUUGACAAGUCUAUGUAAUGCUGAAACUGCUUUAAAGUCAAAUAAAAACAAAAUGGAUGCCAUCCAUCCAACUUAUUGGGAGAGUAAUUAGGAAUUCUUCUGACCGAUUAAAGAAAACAUCCACUAAUAUGAAUAUCGAUCAAUGAUCGGCUUAA